rnacentral:rRNA from 1 species
UACAGAGGUCUCAAGCGUUGUUCGGAAUCACUGGGCAUAAAGGGCGCGUAGGCGGCUUUUCAAGUCAGGGGUGAAAUCCGGCAGCUCAACUGUCGAAGUGCCCUUGAUACUGACGAGCUCGAGGGAGGUAGGGGUGUGUGGAACUUCCGGUGGAGCGGUGAAAUGCGUAGAGAUCAGGAAGAACACCGGUGGCGAAAGCGCUCUGCUGGACCUAAACUGACACUGAGGGACGAAAGCUAGGGGAGCGGAUGGG